CUCUCUGUCUGUCUCUCAAAAAUAAAUAAAUAAACUUAAAAAAAAAUGUAAAAAGAAGAAGACAUCCAUAUGCAUUGCCUUCCCCUGCAAUGCCCAGGUACAGUGAGCAAUGAAGAAGACAUUGUUUACAUUAAUGAUUCAGUUACAUUUUGAAAAAAAUGAAACAUUUUUGGCACUGUUACUGUAUACAUCAGGCCUUCCCUAUAGUAUUCUGUAGGCUAGUUAUUUUGCCCAUUUAAAGAUGAGGUUCCUGGAAUCAAAGAUGAAAACUUGUCCUUGGCAAAGGGCUAAUGUGGGGGGGGGACAGGGCCUUUGACCCCCAGUCUUUGGAUCCCAAGUACCCUGCUGGCUUCACCACCUCCUGUUACCCUCCUCCUCAUACAUUUUAUUCCCUGUCUAGUAGUGAAGGCAUUCCUAACCAGAAAUAAGUUGUUCUGUAUCUAGUUUUAGACGAAUGUUUUGGAAUUGUAAAAA